GCGUACACACACAUGCACGCACGCACACACGCACACACACACACGCACACACACACACACACAAACACACACACACACACCACUGGGACACCAGAGCUGAGAGGCCAGGGCAGGGGGACACUUGACGUCUGGACUGACAGAACCACAGUAAGGGAGGACAGGACCCUCGGUAUCUAACCAGGGGGUGAAACAACACCCCUAAGGACAGCGUCAGGGGAGCAGAGCUAUCCAUAGGGUUCAAAGUUGGGGGUAGGGCUGGCUGGGCGGAGGGAAGGAGAGGUGGAGUGAAGGGUGUAGGGAGGAAAUGUUAGGAACAGGAGGAGCCCUGUCUGUGUCCGGAGGGAAAGGGAAGACAGCGCUGCCCGGCCUGGCCACAGACACAGCUGGUUCCUGCCAGAGGAAGCCCCAACGGAGGCCGAGGCCUGGUGUCUACCGCUAUCACAACCCAGCAGCACUGUUUACCUUCCCCUGGGGAACCACCCCUUUCACACGGCGGGGUCAGGACACACACACCCACACUGUUACAGUUGCACUCAGUCCUGGCUCACACGGGCGCCACUGCUCUGCUUUCACUGUGUGGACUAGAGGAGGGUUCAGGCCAGUGCACUGCCCCUCAGCCGGAACAACGAGGAAACGAGGAGCCACGAGGCUAGCUGACCUCCCCCUGCCACUCACACACACACACACUGUUACCUCACACACUCCUGUUGAGUGAGUCGGAGAAAGAGAAGGGGAGAGAGAGACUACUGGGUGGAGAGAAAGAGUAUCGGACACAGAUAAUUACACAAGUCUGGUGGCGCCGCGAUCCAUCUGAGGUGACGUGUCGUGGACGGGAAGAAAGUACGAGGUAAAGGAAGAGUCAUUUGAAGGCUGUUAGCUGCAUAAAGUAAAAAGGAAGGGGAACUUUAAAGAAAGUCUUGUUCGAGUGGGAGGAAGAAGAAGUCGAGUACAAAAAGACAUCUCUCUGUCUGGCAGCCAUGUGAUCUGGCUGUGCUGGGCUCAUGUUCUAAUCAUGAGAGCAAGAGGACUCACUCUGUGAUCUCCCCAGGCCUGGAUGAGUCAGUCAGUCAGUGGGUUAGUCAGUCAGUCAGUCAGUCUGUCAGUCGGUAAGCACCCUAAGCACACAGGAGAAAGGACAUCAACCCUCCGGUCUACACACAGAGAAAGUUACUUGUGUGGUUUAGUGUGUCCCCUGUCCAGCCGAGAGUUCUAGAAACACACAGAGGACAGGACAACGUUGUGGAUUACUGCUGUGGGGAGGGGGGAUGCAGAGUAUGGCCGCCGAGGUCCACCUGGAGCGGCAGAGGAGGUCUGACCUACGGAGAGCCUCAACCUCAGCCUCCACCUCGGCCAAUUUGACCGCUCCUCCCAGGGUUCCCACGGUGAUGCUGACCAGUCACAGGGGGACGCUGUGCAGACGGAACCCUCACAGGCUGGAAUCUGGCAACCCCAACCUGGCAACCAGGAGCCACCGCACAGCCAACCAAGCUUCUGGCCAUGAUGAAGAGUGCAGCAGCUGAGAAAUCCAUAAUCUUAGACAGACACCCAGGCAGACCUGAGAGGAGAGCAG
ensembl:lncRNA